rnacentral:tRNA from 1 species
GGCCGUGUGCCCGAGUGGUCAGGGAACCGCCUGCAAAGCGGUCCACAUUGGUUCGAUUCCAGUCGCGGCCUCCA